rnacentral:rRNA from 1 species
CCUACGGGGUGCUGCAGUGAGGAAUAUUGGUCAAUGGCCGGAAGGCUGAACCAGCCAUGCCGCGUGAAGGUCAGUGCCCUAUGGGCGUUAAACUUCUUUUGUGCGGGAGCAAUAAUGGUCACGUGUGGCCAGACGAGAGUACCGUACGAAUAAGCAUCGGCUAACUCCGUGCCAGCAGCCGCGGUAAUACGGGGGAUGCAAGCGUUAUCCGGAUUUAUUGGGUUGAAAGGGUGCGUAGGCUGGGAAGUAAGUGAGCGGGUAAAUGCCCCGGCUUAACGGGGUGAAGUGCCAUUGAUACUGCCUUGCUGGAAUGCGGAUGCGGUGGGAGGAAUGUGUGGUGUAGCGGUGAAAUGCAUAGAUAUCACAAAGAACACCGAUUGCGAAGGCAUCUCACGAAUCCGCGAUUGACGCUGAUGCACGAAAGCGUGGGUAUCAAACAGGAUUAGAUACCCGGGUAGUC